rnacentral:lncRNA from 1 species
CCUGCCUAUGUCCGACUGUUGCCUACCUGCAUCCAACUGUUGCCAGCCCAUGUCUGACUGUUGCCAGCCCAUGUCUGACUGUUGCCCGCCUGCAUCCGACUGUUGCCUGCCCAUGGCCUGCGUCCAGCUGUUGUUGUCCUCCCGCAUCCAGCUGUUGUUGUCCUCCCGCAUCCAGCUGUUGUCCUCCCGCAUCCAGCUGUUGUUGUCCUCCCGCAUCCAGCUGUUGUUGUCCUCCCA